rnacentral:rRNA from 1 species
AGAGUUUGAUCCUGGCUCAGGAUGAACGCUAGCUACAGGCUUAACACAUGCAAGUCGAGGGGCAGCAUGGUCUUAGCUUGCUAAGGCCGAUGGCGACCGGCGCACGGGUGAGUAACACGUAUCCAACCUGCCGUCUACUCUUGGACAGCCUUCUGAAAGGAAGAUUAAUACAAGAUGGCAUCAUGAGUCCGCAUGUUCACAUGAUUAAAGGUAUUCCGGUAGACGAUGGGGAUGCGUUCCAUUAGAUAGUAGGCGGGGUAACGGCCCACCUAGUCUUCGAUGGAUAGGGGUUCUGAGAGGAAGGUCCCCCACAUUGGAACUGAGACACGGUCCAAACUCCUACGGGAGGCAGCAGUGAGGAAUAUUGGUCAAUGGGCGAGAGCCUGAACCAGCCAAGUAGCGUGAAGGAUGACUGCCCUAUGGGUUGUAAACUUCUUUUAUAAAGGAAUAAAGUCGGGUAUGUAUACCCGUUUGCAUGUACUUUAUGAAUAAGGAUCGGCUAACUCCGUGCCAGCAGCCGCGGUAAUACGGAGGAUCCGAGCGUUAUCCGGAUUUAUUGGGUUUAAAGGGAGCGUAGAUGGAUGUUUAAGUCAGUUGUGAAAGUUUGCGGCUCAACCGUAAAAUUGCAGUUGAUACUGGAUAUCUUGAGUGCAGUUGAGGCAGGCGGAAUUCGUGGUGUAGCGGUGAAAUGCUUAGAUAUCACGAAGAACUCCGAUUGCGAAGGCAGCCUGCUAAGCUGCAACUGACAUUGAGGCUCGAAAGUGUGGGUAUCAAACAGGAUUAGAUACCCUGGUAGUCCACACGGUAAACGAUGAAUACUCGCUGUUUGCGAUAUACUGCAAGCGGCCAAGCGAAAGCGUUAAGUAUUCCACCUGGGGAGUACGCCGGCAACGGUGAAACUCAAAGGAAUUGACGGGGGCCCGCACAAGCGGAGGAACAUGUGGUUUAAUUCGAUGAUACGCGAGGAACCUUACCCGGGUUUGAACGCAUUCGGACCGAGGUGGAAACACCUUUUCUAGCAAUAGCCGUUUGCGAGGUGCUGCAUGGUUGUCGUCAGCUCGUGCCGUGAGGUGUCGGCUUAAGUGCCAUAACGAGCGCAACCCUUGUUGUCAGUUACUAACAGGUUCCGCUGAGGACUCUGACAAGACUGCCAUCGUAAGAUGUGAGGAAGGUGGGGAUGACGUCAAAUCAGCACGGCCCUUACGUCCGGGGCUACACACGUGUUACAAUGGGGGGUACAGAGGGCCGCUACCACGCGAGUGGAUGCCAAUCCCAAAAACCUCUCUCAGUUCGGACUGGAGUCUGCAACCCGACUCCACGAAGCUGGAUUCGCUAGUAAUCGCGCAUCAGCCACGGCGCGGUGAAUACGUUCCCGGGCCUUGUACACACCGCCCGUCAAGCCAUGGGAGCCGGGGGUACCUGAAGUGCGUAACCGCGAGGAGCGCCCUAGGGUAAAACUGGUGACUGGGGCUAAGUCGUAACAAGGUAGCCGUACCGGAAGGUGCGGCUG